rnacentral:tRNA from 1 species
ACUUGGCUGGCUCAGUUGGUAGAGCAUGCAAAUUUUUGAUCUCACGGUCAUGAGUUCAAGCCCCAUGUUAGGCA